CAGUAGCCGCGGUAAUACGGAGGGCCCAAGCGUUAAUCGGAAUUACUGGGCGUAAAGCGCACGCAGGCGGUUUGUUAAGUCAGAUGUGAAAUCCCCGAGCUUAACUUGGGAACUGCAUUUGAAACUGGCAAGCUAGAGUCUUGUAGAGGGGGGUAGAAUUCCAGGUGUAGCGGUGAAAUGCGUAGAGAUCUGGAGGAAUACCGGUGGCGAAGGCGGCCCCCUGGACAAAGACUGACGCUCAGGUGCGAAAGCGUGGGGAGCAAACAGGAUUAGAUACCCCGGUAGUCCCUGUCUCUUAUAC
rnacentral:rRNA from 1 species